rnacentral:rRNA from 1 species
GUUUCCCGUAAGGCGCCGAAUGAGUCAUUAAAAAAUUAACAUCAUCCGAUCCCUAGUCGGCAUAGUUUAUGGUUAAGACUACGACGGUAUCUGAUCGUCUUCGAUCCCCUAACUUUCGUUCUUGAUUAAUGAAAACAUCCUUGGCAAAUGCUUUCGCAGUAGUUAGUCUUCAAUAAAUCCAAGAAUUUCACCUCUGACAAUUGAAUACUAAUGCCCCCAACUAUCCCUAUUAAUCAUUACAUCGAUCCUAGAAACCAACAAAAUAGAAUCGGAUGUCCUAUUUCAUUAUUCCAUGCUAAUGUAUUCAAGCGUGAGCCUGCUUUAAACACUCUAAUUUUUUCAAGGUAACAGUCCUAAUUCCCCGUAACACCAAAUUAAUGGCAUCACGGUUCUUUAGAAGGUGAGAAAUCAAUGAUAACAGUGCAUACCAACGGCAUGACCGAAAUAUUGAUCCCGAAAUUCAACUACGAGCUUUUUAACUGCAACAACUUUAAUAUACGCUAUUGGAGCUGGAAUUACCGCGGCUGCUGGCACCAGACUUGCCCUCCAAA